GUCGAAAAGUCGGGCAAAUGUUCAACAAAAGUCGGGCAAAAGUCGGGGAAAAAGUAGUCAAAGCAAUAAAAUCUCUCGUAAUAAUAACCCCAGUUUGUUGGGCAAACCAAGCCAGUUGAGCAAUAUUCGCUUCACAGUCGGGCAAUAUUGGGUUAUUAUAAAAAUAAAUGGGAUAAAUUCUGCCAAUUUUGCGGGAAAUUAUGUAAAUUUUGUGAUGUUUGGGAAAAUUUGUUUGAUGUUCCGAAAAAUUUUGUAUGUCCGAAAAAUUUUUGGACCCCUAAAAUGGUACACUGACCCAAAUUUUUUUGGCGACGGGGGGGGAGGGUUGGUCGCCAAAAUUUAUUGUUCCGGAAAAAAAAUUUUUCGGGCACUGGUCGGGCACAAUUCGAAAAAGUCGGGCAAAUUUCUUUCUGCCCCCCCUAAUUUUUUCCUUCCCGUACGCCUAUGGUUUGAAUUGCAAUAUUGCAUUCGACGCGACCGAAGUUCGACGUAUAAAACAGGCCUUAAUUUUAUACAUUUUUACCGUACCAGGAACAAUUGCCAAAAACACAAUUAUAGGCCUUCUCAGUAUAGGAAUCGAAUCCAUAGUAGUAUUUUUGGUAACUGCGCCUGGUCUAAAAAUGUAUAGAAUCUAAACUGGAAAUUUUCUUUCCCAAAAGCCCACCAGUAGCGACAAUGGUAAAGUCUAUUUGCGCCAUGUUUUAUUUCUCGAAUCAUUCGCGAAUACAACAUCUAUUUGAAAUUUUUCACUUUAUUUUGGUAACGUUGUAGUUGGUCUUAAUAAUUGGGUAAUUUGUUAAUAUUCUGGGUAAUUAUUUCGGUGGAGGUAAAUUAACUAUUAAAUUAAGAAAUGAAUGUUAUUUAAAACUGAUAAAAUUAGACGUUCUUUAAUUAAUAUAUUUAAUUAAUAC
rnacentral:lncRNA from 1 species